UACCAUAACUGUUUAUUAGUUAUAUACUCCAAAUGGAGUUCCCAAAUGAGAAGAUAAGUUUCGAGAUACGAAACUCGGCUGCAUUUGAUAACAGAGCAUACAAUGAAGAGUUUCCUCUGCCCCCUGGUAUUUGUGGAAGACGAUAUCAUUCCCAUGGAUAUAUCCAGCCUUAUAAUUGGAUUGGAGAGAGCAUAUCUUCUAACCAUGAUUACUUGAUAGUGCAUGGGUCAAUUAGAAGUAAUUCGCAGGUUGAAAUAGCAGAUGAAUUUCCCGAACACAUCAUGUACGAUGGCGAAACGAGGCAUCACUAUAAAAACAAAAGGGAGUUUAAUAAUGAUUUUGAUGAUAUUCGCAUAUAUUCAGAAAUAGGAGAUUUCACAAAGCUUAAUACGACUGAGCAGUCAGACGUCAAAGGUUUUGAUCAAAGAGAAUAUGUACAACGACUAUCAAAUAACUACUGCGAAAAGAAAGACAAAGAAACAAAUCAGGCAUUGAAACAUUCGUCGUGUUCACCUUGCAAAAUUGUUAUCCUUAUAACGAUAAUAACUAUACUCUUAACUUUGCUUGGCUUUGGACUUAAUUUCUUAAUCCUCAGAAAUAUCAGUGAAGGCUUCCGAAGCGCUUUUUCGGAUUUACCUUCAUCAGGAAAGCUCAGCCAAGGAUGUAUACGAAUCGAAACUGUUGAAGAGCUAUAUGACCAAAAAGGACAUGUAUAAAAAUACUAGUAUCGUAACAAACUCUUAAACGUUGAACAUUGAAAAUUUGAAAUACUUUUGAGUAUUUUACCUUUCUUUUCGAUUACAAAUUACUGAAUGAAAAGUCGGUUGAAAUGAAAUAUUCGAACAUUUACUAUAACAUUAAGUUGAUAAUAAACACAUUUUACGCUUUAAUUCAUUCAUUCUGUAUUCAAGAUUAACUUUCAUUUGUUUUCUCUUACAUCAUGCUUCUGUAACAUUUAAAAGUGACUCUUCAAGUAGCCACUUUACUAAAAAAAAAAGGUGAUCUUCUUAAGACAUAGAGGCGAAUAAAAAACAUUUUGGAUAUAUUCUGUCUUCAAAAAUAUUUUGAAAAGAUAUACGAAUAAAAGAAGAUUUGAAUCACACUGCAACGAAACAGCAACCUUCCAACAAAAAAGCCUUUACUACAAAGUUUAGCAAUUCACGACGUUCAACAAUAUACAAAGUGUCAAUUCACUAUAUCAGGGAGCAGAAAAAAGAACACCUACAUGCCAUUAAUACAAACUUUUGUAAAAUGCCAUAAAACAAAUUAAGAAAAGCGCUUUCGACGCAUGAAAUUUCUAAAGUGUUGAUUUCAUUUUCUAAGAUAUAAAAAAAAAGACAACCACUGACGGAGUAAAUCAAAUUUGUUGUAAUCCGUGAAUGCCAUUUAAACAACAUGUAAAGUCAAUCGAAUGGGCACCAUGUUUCGAAGUCGUAAUGGUUACUAUAUUUUUUUUUUCUCAAAUUUUGGGGCAUGGUAUUUUCGCUAUUUUAAAGAUAUGUAUCGUUUUUGUCCAUUCUAUUUUAUUAUAUUACUGUUUUCAUUUUAUUUACAAUUCGACACGAAGAAACUUUAAAAAAGGUCGCUAGUACGGAAACCUUUUCUAGAUAGUUUUACUAGAGUAUCGGCAGCAUAU